UGUUCUUUUUCUUGACCUUUCAGUUUUGUCGUAGAGGUCAAAACCAGUGUCAAUACGAAUUUGUCAUUAAAUGCCUAAAUAUACUCUCUAAUUAGGGCUCUUGUUUUUUUCUCCGAAAUACAUUGCAUGCACAGUAAUGUCCUCUAAAAUCCAAUUAAAGCCUAGCUAAUUUAAUGAUAGAUUAAGACACUAGUCCUUGUGGUAAUGAUAUGCAAUAUAAUAAUAAUAUAACGAUAAUAUAAUUGAGCAAGAUAGGUAAAGUAGAGGAGCACGUAGGUCCCUUAGACCAUCUUUAACGCAGAUGCUUAGUAGGUUCUUUAGUGAUUUUUUUUAUUUUAAAAAAAGGAAAAUGAAUUAAUUGGAGAGGAAACGAUGCUAAUGGGACACGUGUUGGCAUGAUGCGAGUUCGCGUCCCUUUCUAUAUCUCUCUCACGAAACACAAGUGUUUCUUCUGUAUCUCUCUCGACGACUCCGCCUUCAAUCUUCUCCUCUUCUCGACGAAAUCGAUCUCUCCUCGACGGCUCCGUGAGCAAUAGACGAUGAUGUCUCCUUGUAUCUCUCGCUCUCCUCGAAGCCUCCGUGAUCAAUCGACGGUGAUGUCGCCUCGUCUCUGUCGCUCUCCCCGAAGCCUCCGUUAUGAUCGACGAUGUUCUCUCCUCGUCUAUCUCGCCUCCUCGACGCCUCGUUGAGAAACAUGCGCAUGCAUCUGUCCUCGUCUCUCUCUCUACUCGAUGACUCUGCGAUGAAUCUCUCGGCGUCUCGCGGUGUCGAUCUCUCCGAGGAUGAAGCUCCUCCAUCUCUCUUUCUCGGCGUCUCGCGGUGUCGAUCUCCUCGAGGAUGAAGAAUCACCCCGAGGAUGAAGCUCCUCCAUCUCUCUCUCUCGGCGUCUCGCGGUGUCGAUCUCCUCUCUCAGGCUCGGAUCUCUCCUCUACGUCAACAAAAGAAAGAUGGUCGGAGCUAGAGACGAAGGUUCGUCAAACAAGACGUCUACAAUGAAGACAGGUAAAACUUCAACCCUCUUUGAUCUGUCAAAUGGUUGUUGUCUGAAUUGUUUAAAAAUGGAUGAAAUUGAAUCGAGAUAGUAUCAACCGAAUCGAGUGUCAUGAAUGGAUGUUGUCUGAAAUUGUUUAAGAGUUCCACUAUAUCAUUUAGCUUCUGGUCUGAAUUGAAUCGAGUGUCAUGAAUGGAUGUUGUCUGAAAUUGUUUAAGAGUUCUACUAUAUCAUUUAGCUUCUGGUCUGAAUUGAAUCAAGUAUCCUGAAUUAGUUUUGUAUCUGUUUGUUUGUCUCUUGAGGUAUGUUUCUCAUUGUUGUUUUGGUUUCUGUUUGUCUGUGUCAUGAGCUCCAUGGAUGAAGGUUCGUUAAAGAAGAUGACUACAACUACAUGAUCGUUUGCAAGCAAAGGAGUGCAUUCACCGGAGAAAAAGAGAGACAAAGAGGGAAAGAGUAAAAGAGUGCAAUAUUGGAAGAGUGGAAGUCACAUGUUCUUGGAGUCUUGUUACAUGUUCAGUGUGGCACGAGUCUUGUUGUUUCGUUGUUUCAAGUCACGAGUGUUGUUGUUUUGUUCCAUUGUGUCACAAACUUUUAUAAUAUUUGGUUGUAUCAAGUCACGAGUCUUUUUGUCUUGUAUGUCACGGACUUGUAUAAGUUUUAGGAGACUUGUAUUAUAAAGUAGUUGCUUC